rnacentral:rRNA from 1 species
UGGUGGGUAGUUUGACUGGGGCGGUCUCCUCCUAAAGAGUAACGGAGGAGCACGAAGGUUAGCUAAUCCUGGUCGGACAUCAGGAGGUUAGUGCAAAGGCAUAAGCUAGCUUGACUGCGAGAGUGACGGCUCGAGCAGGUGCGAAAGCAGGUCUUAGUGAUCCGGUGGUUCUGAAUGGAAGGGCCAUCGCUCAACGGAUAAAAGGUACUCCGGGGAUAACAGGCUGAUACCGCCCAAGAGUUCAUAUCGACGGCGGUGUUUGGCACCUCGAUGUCGGCUCAUCACAUCCUGGGGCUGAAGUAGGUCCCAAGGGUAUGGCUGUUCGCCAUUUAAAGUGGUACGCGAGCUGGGUUUAGAACGUCGUGAGACAGUUCGGUCCCUAUCUGCCGUGGGCGCUGGAGAAUUGAGGGGGGCUGCUCCUAGUACGAGAGGACCGGAGUGGACGCAUCACUGGUGUUCGGGUUGUCAUGCCAAUGGCAUUGCCCGGUAGCUAAAUGCGGAAGAGAUAAGUGCUGAAAGCAUCUAAGCACGAAACUUGCCCCG